AAUAGGAGUGUUUUUGUAUAGGUGAAGUGAAAUUGAAAGUGGAGUGUGUAAAAGUGGUGAAGCACAUUCCCUAAUAAACCACCUAUGGUACCAGUACUCAUAUUCUCUAACUAUGAUUCGAGCAAUUGGCUAUAUCAUGAUUCAUGAGUGAUUCUUCAUGAUCUAAUGGAAACAAAUCAAUAGCUAUAGUUGAUGAGGAGACAACAACAUACACUAGUUAGUGCCAAUCAUAGAUGAGGAGACAUGAGCAGUAGCAGUAGGAAAGAACAAUAAUGGGUGAACCACAUAACUAUAGUUGAUGCUCUAUUCAGGAUUUUGGGUACAGCGACAAGGUUAAGUAAUGGGGUCAACUCCUCCAAAUUAAGG
rnacentral:lncRNA from 1 species